AGAUGUGGCUCCCUUCUCCACUGCAAUUGCCACUGCCCAGAUCAUAUCCUCCCUGCAGCAUAUUGUCUAAAAGCCAGAUCUUCUGAAAUCCUUCAUGUUUCUAGAAAAUGUAGCCUGAUGAAUGAAGAUGCACAUAAUCCGUUACUGAAAAUGGCCAAUGAAGUUCAGCCUAACACCAGGGUAGUCCAUGGCUCACCAGUCUUGGCAAACAGUUGUCAACAGUAGCUCAGGCCAUCCCAGCCCCAGCUUACUAUUUAUGUGGUCAAUGGGAACAGUGGUCAGCACUGAAGAGAAGACACCACGUGGCAAGCAGUGAAGAUCUGUGCCUGAGGAAGACCGAGCAAUCCUAUUGCCCUUCCCCCGCAAUAGAAGGACACGGGCCCACGCUGUCUCUUCAUUUAUAGGAACAAGUCAUGUGGGACUCUGAACACUCUCUUGCCUCACUCUGCUUUAUAGCUUAGCAUCUUUCCCUCAAGCCAUGAACUCUACAGUCACUCUCAGGACAUGAUGGACACCAGAAGGAAAGGGAACCUCAGGAAAAUCUUGGCCAAGUCAACAGACGUCUCCAGAAAGAAAAGCGGAGCUCAGCCAAUCUCUAGAACACAGUAGAAGGUGUUACUGAUGGUUCCACUGUUUGUUCAAACAUGUUGAAGAUAUACAGCCUUUGAAGUUCUUGUGCUGUUCGUGAAAAUAACUAACAUCAAUGUCAUUUAUCAAUAGCUAAGUGGCUACCUGGUCUUGAUGGGAGAUUCAUUUCCCUUGUCACAAUCCAGCCCUGCCUGGGAAUCUGACUUCAUCCUAUCUGUGGUGGUCUUGCUCUGGCUGAUUGUACUUUCAGUGGGUGUGGGAUGGCCUCUCCACUCAGGGAAAAUCAAGAACAUGUUUGUGUGUGUGUUCACUCUACGUGAGAGCUGUGGGCCUCAUGGGAGGCACUUUUCCUCCAGCCUGAGAUUUCAGAAUGAGCAGACCCUUCUGACCUGCUCUUUGAGAAGCUGCCAGGACACUCACAAACCAGAGUGAGAAGAAAUCAAGGAACAAGAGUGCUUGCUGACAAAGCUUGACUAAAGCACUUACAUUUUGCUCACUGACCGCAGCAUCUGUUUUUGACUG